rnacentral:snRNA from 1 species
GGAUGUGAGGGCGAUCUGGCUGCAACAUCUGUCACCCCAUGGAUCGCCAGGUUUGAUUCGGUUGAUCUGGCUGGCUAGGCAGGUGUCCCCUUCCUCCCUCGCCGCUCCAUGUGCGUGCCUCCUGAAGCUGCCAGCGCUCGGUCAAAGAGGACGACCAUCCUCAAUAGAGGAGGCCCGUUCUUCUCGGUCAAGGGCACACGAGUAGCUGCCUUCCCCUGCUAGACCCUCCAAACAAGCUCCCAAAAUAAUGUACCUGGAAACACUUCGCUGUACACUGAACUGCAUCAGCAUCACUUUUUAUUAAUUCCAAGUGAUCAAG